ACGUGGUCAUUUAAAACGCACAUACACUUUCCCCGAGGGGCCUGGUGUACAAUGCUUGCAAACAAGCCUUUUUGCAGUGUAUGCAGCUUGUUGCCUGUAUGGGUUGUCCUAAGAGACCUUGGAGACAAUU